UUAAGUAGAGGUUGCAUUUUAAAAGAGUAGUCAGACGGAUGUUUCAGUGACAGGUGAAAUCUGAUGAAAGGGUGAGAUGCCGAAGGAAGAAUAUAUACUGAGAUAUUUUUCUUGGGGAUAUGGUUAAUAGCCAUAUAACUGUCAUUCCGUUUACAUUCGGAAUGGAGGGCUGCUUUU
rnacentral:ncRNA from 1 species